GAGAGUGUAGAGAUUAGAGUGAGAGAGAGAUUAGAGAGAGAAAGAUCAUCCAUUAAUUAGCAAAUAUUUUCUAAGAUUUGCAAAUCUCCUUUAAAGAUCACAAGAUCAAAUUCAAUCUUGCAAAGCCAAAUCUCUCUCUCCCUCACUAAAAUUUUCGGCCAUCUCUCUCUCCCUCACUUGAAUUUUCGCCCAACACACACAUACACUCAUCUUCUUCAUCUCUAAUUUCCACCAUUUUCCUCCAUUGAUGGAAACCUUCGAAGCUUCCUAAAAUAUCACCAAACACUUCAAAUCACUCUAAUAUCCUCCAUAAACAUAUUCUAUCCACUUUUAAUCAAGAGAAUCCUUGAAGAAGAAGCUCCAAAGUAGAGUGAGAAAGUGAGAAUUUUGGUGAGAACUUGGACACAAGCAGAGCAAGGAAGUAAGUAACUCCGCUUUGACGGGAGUUUUUGAGUAAGGUCUUCAGGCUAAGCGAGGAGUGAGAUUGGUCUGGUGCUGGUGGGGGAUCGUUAGAUGACGUAUUUACUUUAUCGUAUUUCAUUUUUUUUUUAUCGAUAAAGUCUUGAUGUGAAGUUACUUUGAAUAUGAAUCAAGUAAUAUACUCACGGUUAUGUGUCUCCAUACAUGUAACCGGUUCGCCUUUUGCUGCGAUACUCUGCAUAUUAUGUUUCCUUAUGAAAAAUAAGCUAUACCUGUUUUGUUUUU